rnacentral:lncRNA from 1 species
GGGGGGAUUUGGGAACCCCCAGCCCCAAAUUCUGCGGCAGCGGGGGCUGGGCUGGAUCAGGCACUUCUGGGCACUGCGGGGAGGGGACAGGGACGGACAGAGGGACGGACAGGGAUGGACAGAGGGAUGGACAGAGGGAUGGACACAGGGAUGGACAGGGAGGGACAUGGGGGGGACAGGGAUGGACAGAGGGAUGGACACAGGAUGGACAGAGGGAUGGACACAGGGAUGGACACAGGAUGGACGCUGCAUCCACAGCCCUGCUGUCCCAUCCCGCUGUCCCAGCCCUGCCCUGUCCCCAGCCCCGGGUGCCCACAC